rnacentral:rRNA from 1 species
AACGGUAACAGGAGUAGCAAUACUUGCUGACGAGUGGCGCACGGGUGCGUAACGCGUAUGCAAUCUACCUUUAACAGGUGAAUAGCCCGAAGAAAUUCGGAUUAAAACACCAUAGUAUAUUUGAAUGGCAUCAUUUGAAUAUUAAAACUCCGGUGGUUAAAGAUGAGCAUGCGUGACAUUAGCUAGUUGGUAAGGUAAUGGCUUACCAAGGCAACGAUGUCUAGGGGAUCUGAGAGGAUUAACCCCCACACUGGUACUGAGACACGGACCAGACUCCUACGGGAGGCAGCAGUUAGGAAUAUUGGACAAUGGUGGCAACACUGAUCCAGCCAUGCCGCGUGAAGGAUGAAGGCCCUAUGGGUUGUAAACUUCUUUUGUACGGGAAAAAACCUCUUUACGUGUAAAGAGCUGAUUGUACUGUAAGAAUAAGGAUCGGCUAACUCCGUGCCAGCAGCCGCG